rnacentral:tRNA from 1 species
UGGGGUGUAGCCAAGCGGUAAGGCAACGGACUUUGACUCCGUCAUGCGUAGGUUCGAAUCCUGCCACCCCAGCCA